rnacentral:rRNA from 1 species
GUGGGGAAUAUUGGACAAUGGGGGCAACCCUGAUCCAGCAAUGCCGCGUGAGUGAUGAAGGCCUUCGGGUUGUAAAGCUCUUUUGGCGGGGACGAUGAUGACGGUACCCGCAGAAUAAGCCCCGGCUAACUUCGUGCCAGCAGCCGCGGUAAUACGAAGGGGGCAAGCGUUGUUCGGAAUUACUGGGCGUAAAGGGCGCGUAGGCGGCCGAUCAAGUCAGGCGUGAAAUUCCCGGGCUCAACCUGGGGGCUGCGCUUGAUACUGAUUGGCUUGAAUACGGGAGAGGAUAGUGGAAUUCCCAGUGUAGAGGUGAAAUUCGUAGAUAUUGGGAAGAACACCAGUGGCGAAGGCGGCUAUCUGGCCCGUUAUUGACGCUGAGGCGCGAAAGCGUGGGGAGCAAACAGGAUUAGAAACCCCAGUAGUCC